GGGCCGCUAGCUCAUCGGGUAGAGCACCACCCUUUUAAGGUGGGGGUGCCGUGUUCGAGACACGGGCGGCUCACCA
rnacentral:tRNA from 1 species